rnacentral:lncRNA from 1 species
GGAUCUAGAGCCACUUGUUUAGCACCGCACUUGAAAUCGCUGCUAGUGAUAGUAAUGGCUGUCAAUCAAUGAAACACGAUUCACCUUCCUCCAAGAAAAAUUAAUCAUGACAUCGAGGUUCCUCCACAUUCAGAUUUGAUCAUUCCUCCUCCAUGAACGAGAAUUGUUCAAACGCCUCAGCUAGGUUUUUUAGAUCCCUCACUCGC